rnacentral:rRNA from 1 species
UACGGAGGGGGCUAGCGUUAUUCGGAAUUACUGGGCGUAAAGGGCGUGUAGGUUGUCUGGAAAGUCAGAGGUGAAAGCCCAAAGCUUAACUUUGGAACUGCCUUUGAAACUAUCAGACUAGAAUUCGGUAGAGGAUAGUGGAAUUCCUAGUGUAGAGGUGAAAUUCGUAGAUAUUAGGAGGAACACCAGUGGCGAAGGCGACUAUCUGGGCCGAUAUUGACGCUAAGACGCGAAAGCGUGGGGAGCAAACAGG